rnacentral:rRNA from 1 species
UGAGUACGAGCUGCUGCGGCAGCGAAGUGGGUGAUGUCAAGCUUCCAAGAAAAGCCCUAUACCCGUUAAGGCAUGACGGCCUGUACCCGAAACCGACACAGGUGGGGUGGUAGAGAAUACCGAGGGGCGCGAGAUAACUCUCUCUAAGGAACUCGGCAAAAUGGCCCCGUAACUUCGGGAGAAGGGGUGCCACCGCAAGGUGGUCGCAGUGAAGAGGCCCAGGCGACUGUUUACCAAAAACACAGGUCUCCGCUAAGUCGCAAGACGAUGUAUGGGGGCUGACGCCUGCCCAGUGCCGGAAGGUUAAGGAAGCUGGUCAGCGCAAGCGAAGCUAGCGACUGAAGCCCCGGUGAACGGCGGCCGUAACUAUAACGGUCCUAAGGUAGCGAAAUUCCUUGUCGGGUAAGUUCCGACCCGCACGAAAGGCGUAACGAUCUGGGCGCUGUCUCGGAGAGAGGCUCGGCGAAAUAGAAUUGUCUGUGAAGAUGCGGACUACGUGCACCCGGACAGAAAGACCCUAUGAAGCUUUACUGUAGCUUGGUAUUGUGCCCGGGCUCUGAAUGCGCAGGAUAGGUGGGAGGCUUUGAUCCAUGGCUUGCGGGUCAUGGUGAGCCAACGGUGAGAUACCACUCUUUCAGAGCUAGGGUUCUAACAGCCACCCGUUAUCCGGGGGCUGGACAGUAUCAGGUGGGCAGUUUGACUGGGGCGGUCGCCUCCUAAAAGGUAACGGAGGCGCGCAAAGGUUUGCUCAGGCUGGUUGGAAAUCAGCCGACGAGUGCAAAAGCAGAAGCAAGCUUGACUGUGAGACCAACAAGUCGAACAGGGACGAAAGUCGGCUUUAGUGAUCCGACGGUUCUGAGUGGAAGGGCCGUCGCUCAACGGAUAAAAGUUACUCUAGGAUAACAGGCUGAUCUCCCCCAAGAGUUCACAUCGACGGGGAGGUUUGGCACCUCGAUGUCGGCUCAUCGCAACCUGGGGCUGAAGUCGGUCCCAAGGGUUGGGCUGUUCGCCCAUUAAAGCGGUACGCGAGCUGGGUUCAGAACGUCGUGAGACAGUUCGGUCCAUAUCCGGUGCAUGCGUAAGAACAUUGAGAGGAGUUCUCCCUAGUACGAGAGGACCGGGAGGAACGCACCUCUGGUGUACCAGUUAUCGUGCCAACGGUAAACGCUGGGUAACCAUGUGCGGAGAGGAUAACCGCUGAAAGCAUCUAAGUGGGAAGCCCACCUCAAGAUGAGUGUUCUCAUGGCUUAAGCCAGUAAGGUCACGGGAAGAACACCCGUUGAUAGGCUCUACGUGGAAGCGCAGCAAUGUGUGAAGCGGAGGAGUACUAAUAGACCGAGGGCUUGACC